GUGAGACUGAGUAGCAUGAUCUACAGUCACAGUAAUCUGCAAGGGAUGGAAACAAACAAAAGUGGACAAACUGUGGGUGAACAACUUAAUUUAUAAACCUCCUACAAGCUGAAAGUCAAGCAAUUCCUUCUGAUAGAAAUCUUCAUCUCAACAUUUAACAGUGACACUUAGGACUUCCCUGCUUUCUCAUCUGACUUUUAUUCCCCUCAGCUUUUCAGCUGGAAUCCUCUGUGGGAUACAAGCCAUAGCAGACACAGGGAUCCACAGACAUAAACCUCUGCCAGCCAUGAACUCCAAAGCUCAUGAUGAUUUCUGGGGAAAGCAUCAAGGACAGCGUAUGCGUACAGAAAUAAUGUAGGUCCCUCCUAUGACAAAAUGCUGCGGGAAAUAUACUGACCAAUAAGAACCAUUAAGUAUUUGUUGAGCUGAUUUAGGAUUUUGUAAGGAAAGGGUGUGUACUAUGAUAUGUACUUUUGCCCACAUAAUUUCCUUUUCUCAGACAUGUCAUUUUAGAUUUUAAACUGACAGAAAAUAUUUACCAAUGCAAAGAAGCACACGCUGCUAAUCCAAGCAAGUGACCUUUGUCAGGAAACACUGUUUGGAAUGUCGGCACCCCAGUAAUGCCAGGAGGCUUCUAAUUCUCUGCAAACACAGAAAUGGAAUUAGAUAGCAUUCAUCUUCUUUUACCUUAAUUUCCUGUAUAAAUUUUUUACCCAUUUUAAGUUAUCACUCUUUAAACAUCCAUCUGGGGGGGGGAAAGCAUCAAAAGCCACAAAAUUUUCAAGCAAUAAAAAUAUCUUCCCACACUUUCCA
rnacentral:lncRNA from 1 species